UUUGGAAUAGCUCAGUCGGUAAAGCGGGAGACUCUUAAUCUCAAGGUUAUGGGUUCAAGCCCCGCCUCGGGCAAAA